UGUUUGCUAAGAACCACCGUCUUCGUCUUCGUCUACGUUUUCGCUUUGUCUUCGUCUUCGUUUUCGUCUUAGUCUUCGUUUUCUUCUUCACUAUGGCCGUUACUUCGCUUCUCCAUACCGUUUUCAGACGAAGAAAGAAGAAGUCUACUGAGUUAAUAAACGAUUAUGCAGUUUUGCAAUUUGACUUCGACACCAUUAGAGCUGCAACAAAUGAGUUCUCAGAUGUGAUUGGUCGUGGAGGAUUUGGUUCUGUUUACAAGGGUAGGCUUCAAAGUGGACAAGAAAUAGCAGUGAAGAUAUUGCUUAAAAGUUCAAUUAGAACUCAUAGACAGUUUCAUAAUGAACUUAAUCUUUUGUCAAAGCUUAGGCACAAGAAUCUUAUCAAUCUUCUUGGUUUCUCCACUAAACGAGACCACUAUUGUCUUGUUUAUGAGUUCAUGCCUAACUCGAGCCUUGAUUGUUUUAUACUAGAUCCACACAGAGCUUCUCGGCUAAGUUGGGAGAUGUGUCGAAACAUUGUCCAAGGCAUAGCUUGUGGUUUACGUUACCUUCAUGAAGAAUCAGGGCUGUGGGUCGUUCACCGUGACAUUAAACCUGCAAACGUUCUAUUGGAUUCAGAUCUAAAACCGAAAAUCAUGGGAUUUGAAUUGGCAAGGAUGAUGCAACAAGGUGGAAACGAAGCUGAAUCAACUGAUAUUGUUGGUACCGUAGGGUAUUUAGAUCCAGAGUAUAUGCGAAGCGGACGUGUUUCUGUCAAAUCUGAUGUUUAUGCCUUUGGAGUUACAAUCUUGAAGAUCAUUAGCAGAAGAAAGGUUUGGAUUGUGGACGGAGACUCUUUAAUCGAAUAUGUUAUGAGAUGCUGGAACAGAGGAGAAGCUACCGAUGUGAUCCAUGAAAUGAUGAGAGAAGAAGAGAGAGAAGAUUCGAUAAGCGAAAUCUUGAGAUACAUUCACAUUGCUUUGUUAUGUAUCGAUGAGGAUGCAGAGACAAGGCCGAGUAUUGAUAAUGUUCUUCAUUGGUUUAGUUGUUUCUCUUCUCCUUUGCCUGAACCAUUCAUUGGUAAUCGAUUUCUUGCAGAGGAAGAAACAAAUCUGUCUUGGUCACCGUAUCUAUCUCCCGGUCAUAGCUCUGUCAUGUCACCUAUAUCUUCGCGUUAAGAGAUUGAGCAUGAUCGUAUAAGAUUAGCUCUGCUUGAAUACUCGAUUAAUGAGAGUUUAGGAUGAGAAUGAUUAAUUAAUGACAGAUCUCGUAUCAUCUGAUAAAGACCACUGUGAGCAACAUAAGCAGUUUCACUAAAUCUACUGACCAUACACGAGGAUCUGAUGAGCCCCAUCAGGUCUACAUAAGGAGGAAAUACAAAGAAGGAGCAGCACGUGUGGAGAAAUAGAGGAGCACGUGCGAAUGGAAAUGUGAUCUUUAGUAUAUAAACAUUGUAAAAAGAGUUUGUAGAGCAUGUUGUUUGUGUCAUUGUGUGGGAACAGAGUCGCAUGUGACUUUGAGGGAGACGGUUAUGAUCUGACUGCGUCUAGAGGCCUCUCUUGUUACCUCAUUAGAUUGUAUCUCAUAUUUGUUCAGAUA